GCCCUUAGAGUUUGAUCCUGGCUCAGGACGAACGCUGGCGGCGCGCCUAACACAUGCAAGUCGAACGAGAGAGAAGGAGCUUGCUUCUUCGAUCGAGUGGCGAACGGGUGAGUAACGCGUGAGGAACCUGCCUCAAAGAGGGGGACAACAGUUGGAAACGACUGCUAAUACCGCAUAAGCCCACGGGUCGGCAUCGACCAGAGGGAAAAGGAGCAAUCCGCUUUGAGAUGGCCUCGCGUCCGAUUAGCUAGUUGGUGAGGUAAUGGCCCACCAAGGCGACGAUCGGUAGCCGGACUGAGAGGUUGAACGGCCACAUUGGGACUGAGACACGGCCCAGACUCCUACGGGAGGCAGCAGUGGGGAAUAUUGCACAAUGGGGGAAACCCUGAUGCAGCGACGCCGCGUGGAGGAAGAAGGUCUUCGGAUUGUAAACUCCUGUUGUUGAGGAAGAUAAUGACGGUACUCAACAAGGAAGUGACGGCUAACUACGUGCCAGCAGCCGCGGUAAAACGUAGGUCACAAGCGUUGUCCGGAAUUACUGGGUGUAAAGGGAGCGCAGGCGGGAAGACAAGUUGGAAGUGAAAUCCAUGGGCUCAACCCAUGAACUGCUUUCAAAACUGUUUUUCUUGAGUAGUGCAGAGGUAGGCGGAAUUCCCGGUGUAGCGGUGGAAUGCGUAGAUAUCGGGAGGAACACCAGUGGCGAAGGCGGCCUACUGGGCACCAACUGACGCUGAGGCUCGAAAGUGUGGGUAGCAAACAGGAUUAGAUACCCUGGUAGUCCACACCGUAAACGAUGAUUACUAGGUGUUGGAGGAUUGACCCCUUCAGUGCCGCAGUUAACACAAUAAGUAAUCCACCUGGGGAGUACGACCGCAAGGUUGAAAC
rnacentral:rRNA from 1 species